AAAAAGGGAAUCCGAAUAAUUCUAAAACGGAAGAAAACAUUUCAGUUCUAUCCUUAUUUUCACAGUUCCUCAAGAGACAGAGCGGAUUUAAUGGAGUAGGUAGAGAUUUUUGAGCUGAUCUAUAUAAAUGUUUCCAUUAUACAAACUACUUAAAGGGACACUAGUCACCAGAGCAACUACAGCUUAUUAUUUAUUCUGGUGAGUAUAAUCAGUCCCUGCAGGCUUUUUGCAGUAAAUUCUGUCUUUUCAGAGAAAAGCCAGUGUUUACAUUACAGCCUAGAGAUACCCCCACAGGCUACUAUUCCGGGGCAGUGCUGCACAGUGUGCAGCACUGACAUUGUAUCUCUUCCCUCUGAAUAGAGUGACUGAACUUUCCUCAUAGAGAUGCAGUGAUUCCAC